AGGGAUUAAUCACGAUUCAUCCGCUGGAGUUAAGGUUGCUGCUUGUGGAAUUUGGAGCUGUGGAGAUUUGAGCUGUGCUCCAAAAGUGCAUGUAAAGAGUUCCCGAAGUGAAGUGAAGUGUGAAUGCAUCCUUCAAGCUGUGAUUAUAUACCUGAAUGAGAACCCUCAAAAUAUCAUCAAAGAGUACAUGGAUUUCAACGUGAUGGAAGCUGAAGAGCUCGAAAGGAUGGAUUUGGGGUGUUUAUAAAAUAAUCCACGAAGGAGCACAGCCUGAUGACUCCCUUGAACAUGUUGGCAUCAUUAUCGAGAGAUGCACCGUCUUGCAGGAUCUUCACGAUGUGGCGAGCAGGUGUGCACUUUUGUUUGGGCUAAUUAACUGCCUCAAUCUGAGUUACCCAAAGCCACUUCGCUACACAUUUGAGUUCUUCCAGAAGGUGCUCACAAGUGCUGAAGAACAAACUCUGCCAAAAGGAGACGCAAUGACUCUUCCAGAUCGAAAUGUCCCCCAAAAUAAGUGCUCUGUUUUCUUGCUGACUAAAAGUUUUACUGUUUAAAAGUUUAUAAA